UGUUCCUAGAAUAUGGUGAGGCACUACGUUCCAAGAAUUAGCAAUUUAUAUUUUGUUUACUAACACUCGUAUUGCUGAAACGACGUGGGUAAUAGCUCUGUAAUUUUAAUUUAGAUAUAUCUGAAAUAUUAGGCACAGUUUUCAUUUUUUAUUAAAUUUCUUCCUUUCAUCAUUUUUUGUUACACUCAGAAUGGAAAAAAAGGAAUCAUUUAUUCAAGAUUCAAAUUUUAUGAUGCUAACUGAGAAUUUAUAUAAGCUUCUCAUUCAUUUUCUAAAAAGUGAUUGUAAAAUUGUUCCUAAGGAAGGUGAACUUUUCGAUAUGCUUCCCUCAUUUCGUGAAGGUGCUAGGAAUGGUUAUACUGAGCUUAAAGAAAAGUUCAAGGCAUGGGCAAAACGUAUGUUUGUAGAAAAUGGUGAUCUCAAACUGAAGAAAAGCGGAAAAGUCAUCAUACCUAUAGAAAAAUGUGACAAUGUGAUAAUGUUUUUGCAUUCAGAAGAUCAUGUUCCAGUUGGCACAGUUGUUAAAAAGAUUCAGAAAAAAUACACCUGGGGUCUGAGAAAUUUUGGAAUGGAUCUCAAUACUGUGCAGGACUGCAUUAUUCGCAACUGCACAGAGGAAAUUUGCAAGAAGAAAAUAAGAAACUUAUCUGAGCUUACGAAAAUAAAAGUGGAAACAUCAUUAAAACAUGGGGACCAUUCGUUCCAUCAAAAUUCUUCUACAACAAAGAACUCUGACAUUGCUAUAACUCGAUAUUCCCUACGAUCGAGUUGUAAUAUGAAAGAAAUGUCAUUUUUAGAAGAAUAUAUAAAGAUUUGGGAUGUGAACGGCUCUAAAUUUGCAGUAAAUGAAUCGUACACUCCUGUGAACGACCAACAAACCGAAAGAGAAUGAUUGUUGUUAUUUAAACAAAUAUCUUUUUCCAUUUCCAGUUAAAAAAUAUAGACCAAAAGAUAACUAUGACCUGAAGAAAUUAAUCGAAACAGCUGAACAACAUCCAAUGGAAUUUCCCCUGAUUUUGCUGGAAGAAAAAACGAAAUUUUUGAGUUUAUUUUCUUUAGCACCUAAAGAAAUAUCUUUUAACGAAACAAUAAAAUCUGAAGAACUACUAAGUUCGAGCAAUGAUCCCCAUUCUUUACAUGAAAAUAUGAGCAGUAUUUUAAAUGAACAAACAAGAAGCAUUUCAGAAUUUCAAAGAACAAUUUCAAAAGGUCAAAACAAUUUAGUAUUCAAAGAACCAAAAAAUAUUUAUGAAAUGACAUCAUUAAUAACAGCAGCAGAGCAUUCUACCCAUUUUACACCUAUUUUAGUGGACGGAAAAACUAAAUUCUUCUGUUCAUUAGGAUUAGCACCAACAGCAAUAUACAGUAAUCAUACGAUUACGAAAUUUCGCGAAGAAUUGGGGCUAUACAAUGGGACAAAUUCAAAAGAAGAAAUGACAUUUUUAAAGAAACAAGAAGAUAAAUCAUUGACGAAGCAUAAAAAUCCGAAAAAAAGCCAACAAAAGAAUACAUCCACAGAAACACAAGAAUGGAUAUCUAUUGAAGAACCAGAGAGUACAGUGCUAAAAAGCAAAUUUGAAUCCAAUUCAAAACAACUGCGUGACAGAAAAGAACUUCGAACUGAAAACAUUGAACAGAAGUUAAAAACACAACAAAUUUCAGUCCAAAAUACAUCAAGAUUAAAAGUUCACUAUUCAUCAAAUUUUCGCAAAUUUUCGAAACAGAUUGAAUCCAAAAAUUUUGCAUCUACUACAAAAAUUGUUUCGAAUCAAAAAGGUACAGGAAAAGAAUUUGUAACUACAGGAAAAAAGAAGCAGAAAAGCAAAAUGUAUACGAAAGAAAGGGAAAUUCAGAAUCCUCGUGUUAUUCUUGAUAAAUCGCACAUCUCAAAAAUUGAUUUGAUUUCAUAUGCACAAGUCAAUGGUAUAGAAGCAAACUAUGGAGAUUCUAAAAGUUGUUCUAAAAGGUCUGUAGGAGAUAAUACAAGAGCACAGAGAUGCAGUGGAAGAAGAAAUACUUGUAUCGAAUAUUUACAUUGUGAAGCGAAUUCCCCUAUUAUAGAUUCACAAAGAAUUAGAAAAUCAACUAAAAAUGUUAAUAAAGACUAUUUUAAGCCAACGCGUUUUUCUCUUAACGAGCAAGAUAUUUCCGAUGUAUGUAAUUUAAAAUCGAAUACCUUGCUAAAAUCUUCCACUGCAGUAAGUGAUGUGAACGAAUCAGUUAAGUCUUCUGAAUUGUAUAAGCUCCUUACUGAUCUACACGACACACAUGAUCAAAUAUCCCGUAAAAAUCUGAAUUCAUAUUUUGAAUAUCUCAAUAACGAUUGGAACGAAAAAUCAUUCUCAGAGCAAGUUGGAUCUUCUUCCUUAGAGCAUAAUUCUCUGCAUGAUAAAGAAUAUUUGGAGUUUGGGAAAGAAGUAUAUAGUGAUAUGGAAUUUUCAAACUGUGAUAAGCAUGAAAAGUCGUCUGAGCCAAGUGACUCAAAACAGUGCCCAGAUGAUUUAAAUAAAUCAGUUGAAUUGACAUUAGGGCAAGCUAAUGAACCUGGAAAAUGUGCACAAUUGAGAUCAAGCGUAAAAGAUGUAGAACUGGAAACAUUUAAGAAAAAAGAUGUUUUUCAUGAACCAAAGCCGAGAAAUGAGAACUCGGAGCAAAUACCUAAAUUGACGAAUGAUAAAAAAAUACAUAAAGACGCAGAAAAUGAUUUUAAUGAUCCAAAAGUUUCACAUGAAGAUAAAGAGAAGGACAUGAAUCUGAAGAUUAAAAUAAAAUUUCCUCCUCCCAAAGAGACCUUGAGACAUAGGAAGAAAGCUACUGGUAAGAGAAACCGAAAAAAAGUUAUGAAAACUCUUCAUCGGAUAACGAACUGGAUUCUCAGGAUGAAAAAGAAAUUCAAAAAUUCGACUUUGGACUAUAUCUGGUAAAAGUGGCCGAAGAGGCAAUGCUAGAAAUGAUACCAAACGAAAUACAAGAUUAUGCAGACAUCAGGUGCUCUCCAGGAGUGAAGUAACUGGAACAUUUGGAAGAAGCAUCCUAUGAGCAUUUUGAAUCAUAGUCUAAAUUUGGACCACUAUGAUUAUGAUUAAAAGAUCCCGGUGUCUGCAUAUUGCUUUUGUUACUAUAUUCCAAACUACUUCAUAAUUUUAGAUGUUUACAGUGAUAAUAUUGGUUUGUUCGUUGUAGUUUAAAAAAUAAAUUUCACUA
rnacentral:misc_RNA from 1 species